UCUCUUUUCCUUAUUUCUGUACUUGUAAUAAAUAAAUAAAAUCUUCAAGCAUUGAAGACUCUCCGUUGUUCAAGUAAUCUCUCUUCGAUCUCAAGGUUGUUAGUCAGGUUGAAUAUCCUUCAUUGGUUGAUUUGCGCGGUCUCCUUCUAGAUCUAGUUGCACAACUCCUUGGUGCUUUAUCAUGUGUCAGGUUUACCUCUGUAACUGAGCGUUUUUUCAACAAACUCAGUACUCCUCGGAUUGAUACUAGUGCUGCUCGAAGUGAAACACUCAGUAUCAUCAACGGAAUGCGCUAUCUAAAACUUGGGUGAAAACCGAGGGUGGUCUAAACGCGUCAGCUUCUUGUGGCAAAAGCCAACCCGCUUAAUCGCGCCCUCAUAAACGGAAGAGUGAACUUCAUCACGCCCUAUGCAAUAUGCUGUCAAACAUUUUAGCACCACUCGCAGAUGAUAGUAAAGGUAACUGGCCACCUCCUGGUGUGGACCCCGCACUUACUCUCUGGUAUGAAGCCGUUGCACGAAUAAGAGUGCAACUUAUGCAUUGGACCGAUAAACAAAACAGACAUAUAGCUUGUGUAUUCUCAAUCCUCUUUGGUGUUAAUAAGUUCAUUUGUGAACUAGGGGACUAUAAAUCAACGAGGGAGGCUGAUGAGAAAGUUACUAAUUUACAGGUGGCUUUUUGUUACCGAAGAAGAUAUUAAGAGCUUACCCUGCUUCCAGGUUGAAUAUAGUGAAUUGGCUUAAGCGGCUACAAUAAGGAGCAAGUGCAGGGAACAACUAUGAAGUGGGAAAUACGAUUGCUAAGAAAGAGUUAACACAAUGAAUAUUUUACUCGCAUGAAGAUUGUGAAAGAGAUUCAUGAACGCAAUGGAGUUUUCAGUUUUUGUUCAAACAUUUUUUUAAAUAUUUGUUUUGUAUGUUCGAUAUUUAGACUUAGGUUGACACUUAUUAGUUAUUUCUUUGCAAAAAUUUGGAAUCUUUGGAAGAUGAUUGAUUGAACUUUUUAAUUGAAUUGAUUAUAUUAUUAUGAUUU